rnacentral:tRNA from 1 species
GGGAAUACAGCUCAGCAGCACAGCAUCUGCCUGGAAAGCAUGAGGUCCUGAGUUCAAUUCCCAGUACCCCUG